CAAUAUAAGUGACGGCGACCGGCGCACGGGUGAGUAACACGUAUCCAACCUGCCGAUAACUCGGGGAUAGCCUUUCGAAAGAAAGAUUAAUACCCGAUGGUAUAAUAAAACCGCAUGGUUUAAUUAUUAAAGAAUUUCGGUUAUCGAUGGGGAUGCGUUCCAUUAGGCAGUUGGUGAGGUAACGGCUCACCAAACCUUCGAUGGAUAGGGGUUCUGAGAGGAAGGUCCCCCACAUUGGAACUGAGACACGGUCCAA
rnacentral:rRNA from 1 species